AAAUUGAAGAGUUUGAUCAUGGCUCAGAUUGAACGCUGGCGGCAGGCCUAACACAUGCAAGUCGAACGGUAACAGGAAGCAGCUUGCUGCUUUGCUGACGAGUGGCGGACGGGUGAGUAAUGUCUGGGAAACUGCCUGAUGGAGGGGGAUAACUACUGGAAACGGUGGCUAAUACCGCAUAACGUCGCAAGACCAAAGAGGGGGACCUUCGGGCCUCUUGCCAUCAGAUGUGCCCAGAUGGGAUUAGCUUGUUGGUGAGGUAACGGCUCACCAAGGCGACGAUCCCUAGCUGGUCUGAGAGGAUGACCAGCCACACUGGAACUGAGACACGGUCCAGACUCCUACGGGAGGCAGCAGUGGGGAAUAUUGCACAAUGGGCGCAAGCCUGAUGCAGCCAUGCCGCGUGUAUGAAGAAGGCCUUCGGGUUGUAAAGUACUUUCAGCGGGGAGGAAGGUGUUGUGGUUAAUAACCACAGCAAUUGACGUUACCCGCAGAAGAAGCACCGGCUAACUCCGUGCCAGCAGCCGCGGUAAUACGGAGGGUGCAAGCGUUAAUCGGAAUUACUGGGCGUAAAGCGCACGCAGGCGGUCUGUCAAGUCGGAUGUGAAAUCCCCGGGCUCAACCUGGGAACUGCAUUCGAAACUGGCAGGCUUGAGUCUUGUAGAGGGGGGUAGAAUUCCAGGUGUAGCGGUGAAAUGCGUAGAGAUCUGGAGGAAUACCGGUGGCGAAGGCGGCCCCCUGGACAAAGACUGACGCUCAGGUGCGAAAGCGUGGGGAGCAAACAGGAUUAGAUACCCUGGUAGUCCACGCCGUAAACGAUGUCUACUUGGAGGUUGUGCCCUUGAGGCGUGGCUUCCGGAGCUAACGCGUUAAGUAGACCGCCUGGGGAGUACGGCCGCAAGGUUAAAACUCAAAUGAAUUGACGGGGGCCCGCACAAGCGGUGGAGCAUGUGGUUUAAUUCGAUGCAACGCGAAGAACCUUACCUGGUCUUGACAUCCACGGAAGAAUUCAGAGAUGGAUUUGUGCCUUCGGGAACCGUGAGACAGGUGCUGCAUGGCUGUCGUCAGCUCGUGUUGUGAAAUGUUGGGUUAAGUCCCGCAACGAGCGCAACCCUUAUUCUUUGUUGCCAGCGGUCCGGCCGGGAACUCAAAGGAGACUGCCAGUGAUAAACUGGAGGAAGGUGGGGAUGACGUCAAGUCAUCAUGGCCCUUACGACCAGGGCUACACACGUGCUACAAUGGCGCAUACAAAGAGAAGCGACCUCGCGAGAGCAAGCGGACCUCAUAAAGUGCGUCGUAGUCCGGAUUGGAGUCUGCAACUCGACUCCAUGAAGUCGGAAUCGCUAGUAAUCGUGGAUCAGAAUGCCACGGUGAAUACGUUCCCGGGCCUUGUACACACCGCCCGUCACACCAUGGGAGUGGGUUGCAAAAGAAGUAGGUAGCUUAACCUUCGGGAGGGCGCUUACCACUUUGUGAUUCAUGACUGGGGUGAAGUCGUAACAAGGUAACCGUAGGGGAACCUGCGGUUGGAUCACCUCCUUACCUUAAAGAAGC
rnacentral:rRNA from 1 species